rnacentral:rRNA from 1 species
AUGAACGCUAGCGACAGGCUUAACACAUGCAAGUCGAGGGGCAGCACAGGUAGCAAUACCGGGUGGCGACCGGCGCACGGGUGAGUAACGCGUAUGCAACUUGCCUAUCAGAGGGGGAUAACCCGGCGAAAGUCGGACUAAUACCGCAUGAAGCAGGGGUCCCGCAUGGGGAUAUUUGCUAAAGAUUCAUCGCUGAUAGAUAGGCAUGCGUUCCAUUAGGCAGUUGGCGGGGUAACGGCCCACCAAACCGACGAUGGAUAGGGGUUCUGAGAGGAAGGUCCCCCACAUUGGUACUGAGACACGGACCAAACUCCUACGGGAGGCAGCAGUGAGGAAUAUUGGUCAAUGGGCGUAAGCCUGAACCAGCCAAGUCGCGUGAGGGAUGAAGGUUCUAUGGAUCGUAAACCUCUUUUAUAAGGGAAUAAAGUGCGGGACGUGUCCCGUUUUGUAUGUACCUUAUGAAUAAGGAUCGGCUAACUCCGUGCCAGCAGCCGCGGUAAUACGGAGGAUCCGAGCGUUAUCCGGAUUUAUUGGGUUUAAAGGGUGCGUAGGCGGCCUUUUAAGUCAGCGGUGAAAGUCUGUGGCUCAACCAUAGAAUUGCCGUUGAAACUGGGGGGCUUGAGUAUGUUUGAGGCAGGCGGAAUGCGUGGUGUAGCGGUGAAAUGCUUAGAUAUCACGCAGAACCCCGAUUGCGAAGGCAGCCUGCCAAGCCAUGACUGACGCUGAUGCACGAAAGCGUGGGGAUCAAACAGGAUUAGAUACCCUGGUAGUCCACGCAGUAAACGAUGAUCACUAGCUGUUUGCGAUACACUGUAAGCGGCACAGCGAAAGCGUUAAGUGAUCCACCUGGGGAGUACGCCGGCAACGGUGAAACUCAAAGGAAUUGACGGGGGCCCGCACAAGCGGAGGAACAUGUGGUUUAAUUCGAUGAUACGCGAGGAACCUUACCCGGGUUUGAACGCAUUCGGACCGAGGUGGAAACACCUUUUCUAGCAAUAGCCGUUUGCGAGGUGCUGCAUGGUUGUCGUCAGCUCGUGCCGUGAGGUGUCGGCUUAAGUGCCAUAACGAGCGCAACCCUUGCCACUAGUUACUAACAGGUAAAGCUGAGGACUCUGGUGGGACUGCCAGCGUAAGCUGCGAGGAAGGCGGGGAUGACGUCAAAUCAGCACGGCCCUUACAUCCGGGGCGACACACGUGUUACAAUGGCGUGGACAAAGGGAAGCCACCUGGCGACAGGGAGCGAAUCCCCAAACCACGUCUCAGUUCGGAUCGGAGUCUGCAACCCGACUCCGUGAAGCUGGAUUCGCUGGUAAUCGCGCAUCAGCCAUGGCGCGGUGAAUACGUUCCCGGGCCUUGUACACACCGCCCGUCAAGCCAUGGGAGCCGGGGGUACCUGAAGUCCGUAACCGCGAGGAUCGGCCUAGGGUAAAACUGGUGACUGGGGCU